rnacentral:rRNA from 1 species
UGGGGAAUCUUGGACAAUGGGGGCAACCCUGAUCCAGCCAUGCCGCGUGGGUGAUGAAGGUCUUCGGAUUGUAAAACCCUUUUGGCGGGGACGAUGAUGACGGUACCCGCAGAAGAAGCUCCGGCUAACUUCGUGCCAGCAGCCGCGGUAAUACGAAGGGGGCUAGCGUUGUUCGGAAUUACUGGGCGUAAAGCGUGCGCAGGCUGUUUUGCAAGUCAGGGGUGAAAUCCCAGGGCUCAACCCUGGAAUUGCCUUUGAGACUGCGAGACUAGGGUGAGGGAGAGGUGAGUGGAAUUCCCAGUGUAGAGGUGAAAUUCGUAGAUAUUGGGAAGAACACCCGUGGCGAAGGCGGCUCACUGGCCCUCUACCGACGCUCAUGCACGACAGCGUGGGGAGCAAACAGG